CUGGACCUAUGUGCAAAAUUUUGUUUAUUUUCACGCAUGGGAAUGCAGAUUUCCUAGGAAGAAGAAGAAAAAGAAUGACAUUGGCAAUUCCAAGAGGCUCCAUGCGGCACGGGAGAGUCUCCUCAGCAGCUGCACUGUGGAGAACCGUCUUUUCCGCGCCUGAAAACCGAACUGCACGAAGGGCGACAAGAGGACGCGUCAUCUGUCACGGUGUCAGAUACCCGGAGGUGAGAUGGCCAAUUAAAUCCCGACGCUGGCUGAGGGCUGUCAACGUACGGCCUCUCCCUCUCUCUCUCUCUCUCUCACACACACACACACACACACACACGCGCCUGGCACAUGGAAAUAGUGAAAGUAAGGCCAGCAGUAUCAGUAACGGUAGACCUGCUUGUUGUGUUGCCCCUGUCCUCCAGUCCUUCAGGCUAGCAGCACUGAACCGUCGCUAUGCCUCUGCCCACCGUUUCCCGGCUGUUCAGGAGCGCGCUGCGGACUCAGCUGGUCCCUGUGGCUAAUGUGGCGUCCAAACCUGC